ACACAGCCCAGCCUGCGGCCUUUUGAAACCGGACCGUGAUGUAAAAGCAGAGAUGUUUUCUUAGCUGCUUCACAAAAACAGGAAUCAACUAGCAGAGAAGAAAGACUUUCUCUCCCUCAGGAAAAGAGUACAAAGCCAAGUCUGUACACAGCAGAUGCAAAAGAAAGUCCAUCUGCUACCAGCUCACAACACCACAUGGAGUUUUAAGAUUUCAUACAUCAGACACAAAGCGGACAGCCUGAGGCUGGCAGACAGUGUCAAGAGCCCAUCUCUGUAGGCAACAGUUUCACACAGCUAUCAAGCGAUAGGUGCCUCUUCCACAAAGCUGUAUCAGAGAAGAGAUGACAAAUUUUUUGAACACUGAAGCUCCUCAGAAUCCAUAGUGUCACACCUGGAAGUCUAAAGGCUUGACUACACUCCGCAGUUAAAUUUAACACAAACCAUCAGCAUUCAAGCAGGCUGCAGAAUGGAGCUCAGAAACUCAGCAGGGCUUUUCAGCAUUAAGACCAAAAUGAGCGUCUCUGCGCGGACGUGCAGCUGUGCCACGCAGAAGUACUCGUGUGGAUCACUACUAGCUCAGGCAGAAUGAGUAUGUACUACAGCACUUUCUAUUGUACAACACAAACACACUGAAAGCAUCUUUGAAAGACAGUCUCAGUUCCCACAGACAAGUUGCAAACCAGCAAUUAAGUCCCUAAAAUACCAGGUGGCACUGAAACCUCUAAGUCUCUGAAAGCAAUCCAGAGCUUUGCCUCCCUGGAUGAAAAGAUGUCACCUAAGUGCCAGAAGUUCUGCUACUGCAUAUGCUGAGAGGCACCACUGUGAUAGCUCUGCAUACUGGAGGCAGGUAGUGAUUCACAAACUGCACGCAGGACCCUUCAGAGCUGCAAAGCUCACAGGGAUUAUGCCCAGAAGCUAAGGAGAACAGUGCAUUGAGCAUGAAGCAUAGUUGCAUGGGUACUCUUUUUCAAAAGUGCAGGAAAAAGAGGGAAAAGUGGUGAAAAAGCUGCAAGCCCUAGAACAAGUGAUGAGCAGUCCUGCAAAAUGCCAUGUUUGACAUGGCAAAUAAAAGUGUUAUGAGAUAUCUAAGUAACUGCAUAGCUCCUGGUGGCUCAUGUAGUAUCUACUACCCUGGCAUGAUCUGAUUCAGCAGGAUAUUCAAAGCAUGAAUAUCUGCAACUAAAAGCUUCCAAAUAUUCCCACCAGCCACACUGCAAAUAGUUAGUCCACUCGAGUUUCUCACAAUGCUAUACUGAGGACAUUUGUCAUACAUCCUUACUCUUAACUGUACAUCAAAUACGACUUAUUUAAAACUGAUAUCAGUGAAAACAUUGCAAUGAUUCUUCUCUUUCUUAUCAAUCCAUAAAGGAAAGAUAUAUUGCACAUUACAUAUUGAAAAGGAAUUCUUCUUUUGCAAUUCUUCAAACAUUUUGCAGUAUUAAAAAAAUUUUGCUGUGGGUUUAAAACAAGGGUU